UCUAGUAAGGCAAAAGGACAGUUUGAUUCCUAUCUUGCGGAAUAUAUUUGGAGAAGGAAACACAAGAAAUCCGACGCCAGCCAACUGAUGCGUAUAUUUCUCAGUGAGAUCACAGCCAUAUAUUCUGCAAAAGGAGAGGACUGAAGGGGAUAGACAGAUGACAGAAUCGAAGGAAGAAAGCUGAAAGCUUAAGAAUGAAGAUCAGCAACGAGUUGAUCCGAAGAUGUUCUUCCAAACACCUCCUUCCCGUAGGAGACAACGACGAUAUUAUGCAACGGAUAACUCAUCUAUACCUACAGGAACAACGUAUCAAAAAAAUUGAAAACUUGCAGCUAUGUCGGAACCUUUUAGCCCUUUACUUAUAUGACAACAAGAUUGAGAAGAUAGAAAAUUUGGAUCAUUUAAUACAUCUGAAUUGCCUCUAUUUACAGAAUAAUCUCAUUACCUGCAUCGAGAACAUUGGCAUGCUCACUCAACUCACAGUGCUGUAAGAAACGUUUCUGUUGUCUC